UACGAAGGGGGCUAGCGUUGCUCGGAAUCACUGGGGCGUAAAAGCGCACGUAGGCGGCUUGUUAAGUCAGGGGUGAAAUCCUGGAGCUCAACUCCAGAACUGCCUUUGAUACUGAAGAUCUUGAGUUCGGGAGAGGUGAGUGGAACUGCGAGUGUAGAGGUGAAAUUCGUAGAUAUUCGCAAGAACACCAGUGGCGAAGGCGGCUCACUGGCCCGAUACUGACGCUGAGGCACGAAAGCGUGGG
rnacentral:rRNA from 1 species